UACGGGGGGGGGCAAGCGUUGUUCGGAAUUACUGGGCGUAAAGGGCGCGUAGGCGGCCUGCUAAGUCGGAUGUGAAAUCCCUCGGCUCAACCGAGGAACUGCAUCCGAUACUGGCGGGCUUGAAUCCGGGAGAGGGGAUGUGGAAUUCCAGGUGUAGCGGUGAAAUGCGUAGAUAUCUGGAGGAACACCGGUGGCGAAGGCGGCAUCCUGGACCGGUAUUGACGCUGAGGCGGCGAAAAGCUAGGGGGAGCAAACGGGG
rnacentral:rRNA from 1 species